rnacentral:rRNA from 1 species
UACGUAGGGUGCAAGCGUUGUCCGGAAUUAUUGGGCGUAAAGAGCUCGUAGGCGGUCUGUCGCGUCGGCUGUGAAAACCGGAGGCUCAACCUCCGGCCUGCAGUCGAUACGGGCAGACUAGAGUUCGGUAGGGGAGACUGGAAUUCCUGGUGUAGCGGUGAAAUGCGCAGAUAUCAGGAGGAACACCGGUGGCGAAGGCGGGUCUCUGGGCCGAAACUGACGCUGAGGGGCGAAAGCAUGGGGAGCAAACAGG